CCGCCAGUUGCAAGAUAUCCGGAUGCUAUAAUUCCAACCAUCAGGAGAAGUACUCCUAUUAUGCCUACUAAACGGGGCAUCGGCGCCAUACUCACGAUCAUUUUUGUCCAAGGAUCUAGAAAAAGUUGAAUGGAUUAGUAAUAAUUAGAACAAUCCAUGCGUAACCACCGUCUGGAACGGUAGGACCCAGCUCUGGAAAUGACGUGAAGACUUCAUCGAGACGAAGACGUUUAGCUGAUGACAUUAUUUAUUACAUAAAAAACAAACAAUUCAGUCAAACGGAUACAGUUGAAAUGCAAGAGUAAUUUCGACGCAUACAAUGAGCAUUCAGGCGUUUCUGAAAUAUUAUCUAAUCUUGCUUAAGAUGUCAAUGGUCUGAUAGCCAACGAUAAGGAAUAGCAAAUCUAAGAAUAUUAUGUGUACGUAUGCAUUUUCCGUUGAAAACAUUCAAUCGAUCAAUCCACAAGUAAGGGGAAAUUUAAUAAGUUUCGUGCGUUGUACAUAAAUUAAAGCGCACACCAGUCCUAUUAACACUAUACAGAGGAAAAAGAGCAGAACAGUUGCACCGCGUGGAGUUGAUGAGAACAAUUUCGGCGUACAGUUCUUUGUUUCGUGUAUUUCAU